rnacentral:rRNA from 1 species
UACAGAGGGGUGCAAGCGUUUGUUCGGAAUUAUUUGGGCGUAAAAGCGCGUGUAGGCGGCUUUGCAAGUCGGGGUGUGAAAGCCCUCAGCUCAACUGAGGAAGUGCGCCCGAAAACUGCAGAGCUUGAGUGCCGGAGAGGGGUGGCGGAAUUCCCCCAAAGUAGAGGUGAAAAUUCGUAGAUAUGGGGGAGGGAACACCGGUG